AUGCAUUUCAGUUCCUCGACCCCCUCAGUGAAAGCGUCAUCAGUGAAAGGUUGUCCGUUUCUAUCUCCUUACCAAGUUGAGCCUCUCUUUCUGCUCUGGUAUAUAGUGACUUUGUACUACGUUUUGUGUGAAGUGUGUGAUUCAUUGACUUUAAGAAUAGUGUGCCAUUUGGGACCCGGAAAUAAAAACAGAAGAUCAAUAUUUCAGAACAAAAUAUGCAUCUCUAAAACGUGUUUAUUUUAUUUUGCAUGCUAUUAUUUGGUCCAUUAUCAUCACAGGCUUUAAGUUGGGGGUUUUCUUGAUCCAAUACCGUUGUGAUUGUGUAUGUUUUUUGGGGGGAGGUUUUCUAUUCUCUUUUAAAGGGUGUGUAUGUGAUUUGAAAAGAUUGAAACAUGUAAUAGCAGAUUCCCUCAGAGCGGUUUCACAACACUCUGGGGGUCUGUUUAGAGCUUCGUGUAUUAGGGCUUGAUUCAAUCCAUUGCUGAAGUUCAGCGUUAAAACACGAUUUGACAUUUUAAAAGCAAUCGUUUCGCUGAGACUGCAUUCGUGGUAAACGCUGCGUAAGUCGGCUCAAUGGGAGGAGCUUCGGCGGUACGGAUUGAAUUGAGUCCUUUUAGUUAUUCAUAUGUAUCAGAUCUACUUUCUAGAUGUGUAUCUACGCCACGGUGCACAGCUGUGCUGAGGCUGAGAGCCUUCUCUCUCCACUUCAGAUUCAUCCGCCACACACCUGCUCAGUCGUACUGCUUCUGUACCUGUCGCUCCAGUUGAAACACUAACAGACAUGUAUUCAUUAUGACGAUAUACAGGCGGUGCAUCUGAGACCUUGAUCUCAGUUCCACUGGAUAACAGGGGUCCCACCUAGCUUGGUUGCCAGGUCCACUAUGUGCUUUAGUAAAAUAAUGCCAUGAUGUUGAUAGUCUGAAGUUUUGCUUAAGCCUGUACAGAUCUGGCAACUAGUCGAGACCAGACAGUGGAGUCGGACCCUUAAACCCUCCAUAUAACUCUGUUGUAGAGGAGUGUGUUUGAUCAUCGGAGUUAAACUUAAUCAGGGAGGCAGUUUCCACUCUUGACUCUUUUAGGAGGAAGGAGUUCUUCUCCCUUUCUGUCCUUCUCUUGGGUUUGGGUCCUUGAUAGCCUGGUGCCGGAUGUGUUUGUGCUGUCUUGCCCAACUCAUUGUCAGACUGUGACCGUCAGAGUUGGCUCGACGGCACAAAAGAGAUCUGAGACCAGGCUAGGAGGUCCUUAAUGAAUGCUCUGUGUUGAGACGAUAUAGAUGUCUUCUCAAUCUUCAGACCCAGAAUUACAAGGCCUUUGGUCUCAACAGAAAAAAAACAUCAAAGGAAAACAGAUUUUAUUUUUUAUUAAUUUAUUUCUUUUUGUUUCUUUGGGGAAGUGCAUAUUGUUUGUUGAAGCACACGUCCAGUGGUGACCGUGGGAUUUGCAAUAGGUCUUUAUAUCUGCUGUAAUCGUUCUAAUAAAAAGGAUUCUGGGAAAGUUUGUAUUUAUUUGGCUCUAAUACUUCAUGUUGAUUCGAGGUGCGUUUCAAAAUGUCAUUCAUUGUGGGAUUUUAUCAGACAUAACUCUUUUAUUGUGCAGUUUUCUGUAAUGGCAUGAGUUUUCCUGCCCAGUUUGUAGUCCUACAUGAUUUUUCAUUAGACUGUUGCCAUCUAGUGGUGAAAGGAGGUAGAAAAAUGUGUGUACAUUCUGAGGCCUGCAUCUAAUACUGUUGGUCUUUCCACAAUACCUCUCGAUCUCCUGGCAGCCGCCUCAACAGCACUGGAAAAGGUCAACACUCCAUCCCAUUUGACAAAAAGCCUGUACAUUACUGUUCCAUGGCAUGCAAGU
ensembl:lncRNA